rnacentral:ncRNA from 1 species
AGGAGCUGUAUGAGAUGAAAAUCUCACGUACGGUUCUGGAACAAAGAUUCUUUUAUUUGAAUUACGAUCGUAACGGAUGUCAGCUCAAUCCAAAGAAAUUAUGCGGCACUUUUGCCGUUCUGAUGAUUUCUCCAAUAUUUUAC